rnacentral:lncRNA from 1 species
ACCUCAGACACAGCUUUACCCGCUAUGCCACAGGGCCAAGCCCUAAAUAUUUGCUCUCAUACAUUACAACAUAUUCACAUGAACUGUUAUGUUUAGCAAGCAGCCUAUGCUUCAAUCAAGUACUAAUUAAUAUGUGAACUUUAUAAAUCAAAUGAAUGUAUUUAACACUACUGUCACAGAAUGAAGAGGGUAGAUGCUGGGAGAUACCGGAGUUCCAAGAAGGAUAAAUUGAAAGCUGACAUCCUAGGAAAAUCAGCAACAUAACACUGUACUUGAUAGACAGCAGAUUAAUGACCUCAGUAGUGGGCACUAUCAGAAUUCAGGACUGUGAGAAAGAUCUCCAGCAAAUGGGGUAGAAUUUGAGCUGGGGCUUGAAGAAAAGUUGGGAUUUCAAUAGGAAGGGAGAGGGGAGCCGUCACAAGGCAGGGCUGAUGGUCUGAACAAAGACGGAGGGGUGAGGAGGUAACCUUGACCGGAAAACUUCAAAGAGCUGCACCUUGAUUGACUUGGCAAAAGCCUCCAUUGCUUUCAGGCAGUCAUUGUACUGUUAUACAGAUAAGAGUGACUGGCAGCUUUCUGAAGAACUAAGUCGAACAGCCAAAGGGAAAUAAUGGUGUGGGGAGGCAGCUGGUUGGACUACAUCAAGCCUUAACCACUGUUCUACUGCUCAGGAGAGGUAGGCCCUUCGUCAGUGAUUGACUUUUUAUAUUUAACUUCUCCGCCAGAAAAAAAAAAAUCUUGAUCGCUCGACCCAGGUCACGCGCAGCCUCCUCUGGGGAAUUCCUCUUGGGGGAUAAUUUCACUCACCGCCCAGUCGGAUUAAGGCCGUCGGCUGCCGAUGGUGACACGUGCCCUGGACUGUCGCUCCUGUGAACUCCAUUGUGACAGCUUAUGCUUGAAAGAACUGUCACUAGGCCUAAGUAGCCAGAAUUUGCAAACGAGCAUUGGUGGCAGCGUUAUAGAGGUGAGAGUUAGGAAAAGGUUUUCAGUACGAAGCUCUCUUUAAUAUCCGGCCAGGAUAGCAAGGGGACAGGAUGUUUCCUGGCUAAGCUCUCUCGAGUCCACCAUAAUUGGGUUUUAUGACAUUGUGUUGAGUGGCGGUUCCCACCGCGGCAGCCUUUUCCUAACAUGGUGGUGCACAGGCUCUCUGAUUUUAUUCCUGCUCACCUCUGCAGCCUCAUCUCCAUCCCGCGCUGGACUCGUAGAUCAUGUCCUGGCCACAUUAGACUUUUUGUCAUAUUCCACCCCCAACACCCUCCAUAGAGGAUGUUAAAACGUUAAGAAUAGUUCUUUAAGUCCUUUUUAUUGCUAUGUUCUCUGUCAAAAAUGUUCUCUCUCGUUGCUAACUCCUUUUCUUCUAUUAACAAUCUGCAGUCACUGCCUCCAAGAAGCCUCCUCUAACUCCUUUCUUGACUCCCCCACCCCCACCCCCAGGCUGGGUUA